GAUGAAGAACGUAGCGAAAUGCGAUAAGUAAUGUGAAUUGCAGAUUUCAGUGAAUCAUCGAAUCUUUGAACGCACAUUGCGCCCGCCAGCAUUCUGGCGGGCAUGCCUGUUCGAGCGUCAUUUCAACCCUCGCAGCCCAUCUGGGCAGCGGUGUUGGGGACCGGCACCACCGGCGAAGCCCUUAGGGGCCCAGCCGGCGCCGCCCCCGAAAUACAGUGGCGGUCUCGCUGCAGCCUCCCUUGCGUAGUAGCACACCUCGCACCGGAGCGCAGCGCGGCCACGCCGUAAAACCCCCGACUUUCUGAGUUUGACCUCGAAUCAGGUAGGAAUACCCGCUGAACUUAAGCAUAUCAAUAAGCGGAGGA
rnacentral:misc_RNA from 1 species